GACACACACAUACAACAGUGCACACAUGAGGUCAGUGCACAGCACUACAGAGUUACCUCUCUACAUCCACCAUCAGUUACAGAAAUAGAACUUGAAUCCUCACUCAUGCUUUCAAGAAUAAUUCUUUUUUUAAACUCAUUGAGACUCUUGCUAGCCUCAUUUUUAUAUGCCUCAAUUUUGAUUUUUGUUUGUUUGUUUCCUUGUAUGUGUUUUGUAGCUUAGGAGAGACUACUUUGUGACUUUGAAAAGAAAGAACAUUGUAAUGGAUUCUGAAAAACUAUUUUUGUAUGUGUUACAAUAGAUUGCUUUUGAUCUUUGAGAAGUCUGCUUCACAUAAUUCCAACUACCCUGCAGGUGAAUGGAUGGCAAGACAUGUGCAGAAUAAAUUUGCAGGUACAACUAAUGGUGGAGCUGCCCUGUUCUGUUGAGUGAUGGAGUGAUAAAGCCAUUUAAAGAUGAAUGAGAUUUACCAUAGAGAGUGUUAUUUUGAGUAGACGCACACCACAGGAAGAAAAAUUGAGUCAUGAGUCUCAGACGUCCUACAACAUCAUUCUGUCUUUCAGCAGAAUGGUUUCACUGUUAAAAGGAACACAUUUCUUUCCUCUUGCUUCAUCGUGUCGUCCCAACUCUAUCGCGUUAGAUUACUGCUCAGGAAAGCAUCUGGACCAUAUCAGAAAAUAGAAAGUGCUGUUCAAAGUCAAGUUACUGGCUGCUUCCAGCAUAGAACAUGUGACCAACGUGGCAGGAAGCCAGAGGAAAGGUAUAUAGCUUGCUUAUUGUAAAAUGGUCUAUCUAAACCUUGAGGUAUUUCACCAGGGGACCAUACAUCAUAUAAUAUUAGCAUCUUCUUCCGAAUAUAACGUUUAUAUAGUAUAAAAUCACUGUUCUGCUGAUGGAUAUUUUCAAGACUGUUUAACUUUAACACCAUUAAUGUUUACUCUUUCACAGUUCUUCAUGCUUUGUAUUAAAGGAAUCAAUUCCUUUCUUUAAAAAUAUUUACAUUACAUGGCUGUUGUAUGUUGGAUCCUGUGGCUGUCCAGAGUUAUUAAAGUCUGAUGUCUCCAAGUAGCUCAUCUACAAAUAAUGAAAUUGAUACAACCAGCCAUUUAUCACCACUAUAAUUCAACAUGAAGAAGCUCCACAUAAAAUUAUUGCAUACAAUGCUAAAAUCCUUUAGCAAUAACAAUCACAUUCAAUUUUUUUCUCUUUCUUCUCUAUGUCAGGAAGACAUUUUCCAGUUAGAAUCCCUUUAAGUUCCACUAUUUGAACAUCAUCCAAAAGAAAAAGAAGACAGAAUAUCAACUUUAUUUUGUGCAAUGUGUUUUGCAGAUGAGUAAACUAUUAAGGACAAAGAAAAGAAGCAUGAAUUUUACCAUAUUAAGGAUCAUGGAAAUGCAAACUUAAGCUUUAAUAAGUGAAACAAACACUUAAUAAAAUGUAUAUUCAUAUAUAAUAACCAUAAAUUCACAAUAUUAUACAUAUAUAUGAAAAUUUAUGCUAUAGAUAUGAAAUUAUAUAUGUGCACAUACGUGUGUACCUUUGGGAAUUUCUGUGUGUACUUUAUGCUCACUGUUUUGUAGAAACAACUGAAAGACAGAAGGCAAGGUAGUCAGAAGGCAAGGUCUGCAGAGGUCUGAUGACAGCAUUAUUUAGGAGGCCACAGAGUGACAGGCACAGCACACAGCUGCCAGGAGAGUGCAUUAAUGUGCCAAUCCAACACGAGGGAGCUAUUUCUAGGAAAGUCACUUAGAGAUGUCUUCAGUAUGUGCCUGGGAAACCUAUAAAAAUAUCUGUAGAAAUGCUAGCUCCAAAGUUACAGAAAUGCAAGCACAUAUAAGUAUAAGAGUAUACAAGUACAUUUUGGUACAUUCAAACAAUAAAAUAUAAUAAUACUGGAAAAAUAGUGUGAAACAAAUGUCAGUAUAAUGAAUGAAUAUAAAAUAAAUAUCAUUAAAUGUUAAAUGCUAUCACAUAGAAAGGAAUAAUUAUAUUUGUACACAGUUCAAAAAUCAAAUUAAAACUUAAGUUACAUAAUCAUUAUAUAUCAUAUGAUUAUAAAUGUGUUGUUAUAUCUAUAGGUAUAUAUAUUCUUAUAUACUAAAAAUUUUUAAACACAGAAUUAAGCUAUUAUUAUAUUGUUUAGGAUGAAAGUAUGCUAAUAUAUGGGCAUGGGUUUUCAUGCAUGUCAGUUACUAUUUCCUGAUAUUCAAUGUAUUUUUGAUAGGAUAGGAUCUGAAAUUCUUUAAGGUCCAAGUAUCUAAGAACAGCUUAAAGGGGUUCUCUAGAUUAUCUUAGCCUCUGACAUACCUGUGAGGGGUUCUCUAGAUUUUCUUAGCCUCUGACAUACCUGUGAGGGGUUCUCUAGAUUAUCUUAGCCUCUGACAUACCUGUGAGGGGUUCUCUAGAUUAUCUUAGCCUCUGACAUACCUGUGAGGGGUUCUCUAGAUUAUCUUAGCCUCUGACAUACCUGUGAGGGUUUCCAGAUUAUGUUCAAUUGAGUUGGGAUGCAAAAUGUGCAGCUGCCUCAAGGCUCUGAUGCGGUGACUUCCUUCCUAUGAUCCAAAAUAACUGCUUCAUUUCUUAAGACAUUUUCAUCAAGGAAUUUUUAUCACAGAAACAGCAAAAGUAUCUAAAUAAAUUGCUACCAAGAAGUGGGCAGUUGCUCUAUUAAAAUGAAUUAAAUCCCUCUUACACUCAUGCUGCCUUUAGAAUUUGUUUGUGGCAGGAAGAGUUUUCAUAUAUAGGCACAAAAGCUCUAGAGUCCUCCAAGUGGAGCUUACUGGGAGUUUGGAAACAGAAAUGACAGUAAGAAUGCAAAUGAGAGGGGCACCAGCUCAUGUGGGCAGUGCAGCAGCACAUGGAGGUGGGGCAUCAGAUUAUGGGGGGGCACCAGCUGGUGGGUUCCAGAAGGAAUAAGGAUGCUACUGUGAAAUGGGCCACAUGUUUCGCCUACCUCCUAGCAAAGAAUUUGGCUGGGCUCUACAUUGAGAACUUGUAUGAAGUUGACUUUCAAAGUAAUAGAUUAUUUCUUUGAUGAAGGAAAUUUUGGGACAGCAUAGCCUUCCAUCUAUGGAAUGGCUACUGAUGUUUGCCUUCAUCCUGGUCCACAGUCACAAAGAGAAGAGUGGAAGAAUGUGAAGUGUGCAGUUUGGCAAGGAGUCCAUGAGGUUCAUAGUUUAAUACAAUUGUAAUAUGUUUUAUUUUGGCUAUUUUUGUCUGUAACUUUAGGGUCUGUUUCAAUUUCAUUUCUGAUGAUAAAAUAAAAUAUUCUGACAAAAAGCAA